CACGUAGGGUGCGAGCGUUGUCCGGAAUUAUUGGGCGUAAAGAGCUCGUAGGCGGUGUGUCGCGUCGGCCGUGAAAACCUGCAGCUUAACUGUGGGCUUGCGGUCGAUACGGGCAUCACUGGAGUUCGGCAGGGGAGACUGGAAUUCCUGGUGUAGCGGUGAAAUGCGCAGAUAUUAGGAAGAACACCGGUGGCGAAGGCGGCCAUCUGGCUCGGUACUGACGCUCAGGUUCGAAAGCGUGGGGAGCAAACAGG
rnacentral:rRNA from 1 species